GAUGAACGCUGGCGGCGUGCCUAACACAUGCAAGUCGAACGCAGAAAGAGAGCUUGCUCUCUGGCACAGUGGCGAACGGGUGAGUAACACGUGAGCAAUCUGCCCCUUACUCUGGGAUGAGCGCCGGAAACGGCGCCUAAUACCGGAUACGAGGUGCGAAGGCAUCUUCAGCAGCUGGAAAGAACUUCGGUCAGGGAUGAGCUCGCGGCCUAUCAGCUAGUUGGGGAGGUAACGGCUCACCAAGGCUUCGCCGGGCAGCCGGCCUGAGAGGGUGACCGGCCACACUGGGGCUGAGACACGGGCCAGACUCGUACGGGAGGCAGCAGUGGGGAAUAUUGCACAAUGGGCGAAAGCAGUAUGCAGCAACGCCGCGUGAGGGACGACGGCAUUCGGGUUGUAAACCUCUUUUAGCAGGGAAGAAGCGAAAGUAACGGUACCUGCAGAAAAAGCUCCGGCUAACUACGUG
rnacentral:rRNA from 1 species